rnacentral:rRNA from 1 species
UGGGGAAUAUUGCACAAUGGGGGAAACCCUGAUGCAGCGACGCCGCGUGAACGAAGAAGGUAUUCGUAUCGUAAAGUUCUGUCCUAUGGGAAGAUAAUGACAGUACCAUAGAAGAAAGCUCCGGCUAAAUACGUGCCAGCAGCCGCGGUAAUACGUAUGGAGCGAGCGUUGUCCGGAAUUAUUGGGCGUAAAGGGUACGCAGGCGGUUUAAUAAGUCGAAUGUUAAAGAUCGGGGCUCAACCCCGUAAAGCAUUGGAAACUGAUAAACUUGAGUAGUGGAGAGGAAAGUGGAAUUCCUAGUGUAGUGGUGAAAUACGUAGAUAUUAGGAGGAAUACCAGUAGCGAAGGCGACUUUCUGGACAUAAACUGACGCUGAGGUACGAAAGCGUGGGGAGCAAACAGG